UCGGGAAUAUUGCGCAAUGGAGGAAACUCUGACGCAGUGACGCCGCGUAUAGGAAGAAGGUUUUCGGAUUGUAAACUAUUGUCCACAGGGAAGAAAAUGACUGUACCUGUGAAGAAAGCUCCGGCUAACUACGUGCCAGCAGCCGCGGUAAUACGUAGGGAGCAAGCGUUAUCCGGAUUUAUUGGGUGUAAGGGUGCGUAGACGGGAUAACAAGUUAGUUGUGAAACCCCUCGGCUUAACUGAGGAACUGCAACUAAAACUAUUAUUCUUGAGUGCAGGAGGGGAAAGUGGAAUUCCUAGUGUAGCGGUGAAAUGCGUAGAUAUUAGGAAGAACACCAGUGGCGAAGGCGACUCUCUGGACUGUAACUGACGUUGAGGCAUGAAAGUGUGGGGAGCAAACAGG
rnacentral:rRNA from 1 species